UACGUAGGGAGCGAGCGUUGUCCGGAAUUACUGGGUGUAAAGGGAGCGUAGGCGGGACGGCAAGUCAGAUGUGAAAACUAUGGGCUCAACCCAUAGACUGCAUUUGAAACUGUUGUUCUUGAGUGAGGUAGAGGUAAGCGGAAUUCCUGGUGUAGCGGUGAAAUGCGUAGAGAUCAGGAGGAACAUCGGUGGCGAAGGCGGCUUACUGGGCCUAUACUGACGCUGAGGCUCGAAAGCGUGGGGAGCAAACAGG
rnacentral:rRNA from 1 species